UCUGACACAGGUGCUGCAUGGCUGUCGUCAGCUCGUGUCGUGAGAUGUUGGGUUAAGUCCCGUAACGAGCGCAACCCUUGUCCUUAGUUACCAGCACGUUAUGGUGGGCACUCUAAGGAGACUGCCGGUGACAAACCGGAGGAAGGUGGGGGAUGACGUCAAGUCAUCAUGGCCCUUACGGCCUGGGCUACACACGUGCUACAAUGGUCGGUACAAAGGGUUGCCAAGCCGCGAGGUGGAGCUAAUCCCAUAAAACCGAUCGUAGUCCGGAUCGCAGUCUGCAACUCGACUGCGUGAAGUCGGAAUCGCUAGUAAUCGUGAAUCAGAAUGUCACGGUGAAUACGUUCCCGGGCCUU
rnacentral:rRNA from 1 species